AAGUCGGUGUGAACGCCUGCGUCCCACCAAAAAUACAAAAGAGGAAGAAGAAGAAGAAGACCUAUUAUGGCCGACGCUCCAAAACAACCAAAUAAACAAAAAGUUUUGCCUGAGGAGACAAAAAAAGGACAAUGAAGGAGGGAUUUCAGACCUACGCUGCUUUGUUCCUGCUAAACUAAAUGCUGCAGCUAAAACUCCAACAGAGGGCGCUGUCUCGGAUGGGACACUCGCCGUUCUUCAGUUUGAGGGCGCAGGUGUGGCAGAGACACAUGUGACCGCAGGAGUACAACACCGUGUCCACCGCCUCGUCGUAGCACACCACGCACUCCUCCCAUGCAGGGGACUCUGGCUCCGCCUCUGCCAGGAAGUCAAUACAAAACACUCAGAAAGAAAGUUGUCGUUUUUCAAGCACUGAAUUUUUAAAAUCAAAAUUGGAGAAAAAUACAAAAUUUUUCAAUAUUAAAAUCAGAGUUGGAGAAAAAUACAGAAUUAUUUAAGAUUAAAAUCAAUAUUGGAGAAAAAUACAGAAUUUUUCAAUAUUAAAAUCAGAGUUGGAGAAAAAUACAGAAUUAUUUAAGAUUAAAAUCAAAGUUGGAGAAAAAUACAGAAUUAUUCAAAAUUAAAACAAAAGUUGGAGAAAAAUUCAGAAUUAUUUAAGAUUAAAAUCAAAAUUGGAGAAAAAUACCGAAUUUUUCAAGAUUAAAAUCAAUGUUGGAGAAAAAUACUGAAUUAUUCAAGAUUAAAAUCCAAAUUGGAGAAAAAUACAGAAUGAUUUAAAAUUAAAAUCAAAAUUGGAAAAAAAUACAGAAUUAUUUAAGAUUAAGAUCAAAGUUGGAGAAAAAUACAGAAUUAUUUAAGAUUCAAAUCAAAAUUGUAGAAAAAUACAGAAUUAUUUAAUAUUAAAAUCAAAAUUGGAGAAAAACACAGAAUUAUUUAAGAAUAAAAUCAAAGUUGAAGAAAAAUACAGAAUUAUUCAAGAUUAAAAUCAAAAUUGGAGAAAAAUACAUAAUUUUUUAAGAUUAAAAUCAAAAUUGGAGAAAAAUACAGAAUUGUUUAAGAUUAAAAUCAAAAUUGGAGAAAAAAAAAGAAUUAUUAAAGAUUAAAAUCAAAAUUGGAGAAAAAUACAGAAUUUUCAAGAUUAAAUUCAAAAUUGGAGAAAAAUACAGAAUUAUUUAAGAUUAAAAUCAAAAUUGGAGAAAAAUACAGAAUUAUUUAAGAUUAAAAUCAAAGUUGGAGAAAAAUACAGAAUUUUUUAAGAUUAAAAUAAAAAUUGGAGAAAAAUACAGAAUUGUUUAAGAUUAAAAUCAAAAUUGGAAAAUAAAAAAAAAGAAUUAUUAAAGAUUAAAAUCAAAAUUGGAGAAAAAUAAAGAAUAAUUUUAGAUUAAAAUCAAAAUUGGAGAAAAAUACAGAAUUAUUUAAGAUUAAAAUAAAAGUUGGAGAAAAAUACAGAAUUGUUCAAGAUUAAAUUCAAAAUUGGAGAAAAAUACAGAAUUAUUUAAGAUUAAAAUCGAAAUUGGAGAAAAAUACAGAAUUAUUUAAGAUUAAAAUCAAAGUUGGAGAAAAAUACUGAAUUAUCUAGGAUUAAAAUCAAAGUUGGAGAAAAAUAUAGAAUUUUUCAAGAUUCAAAUAAAAAUUGGAGAAAAAUACAGAAAUAUUCAAGAUUAAAAUAAAAGUUGGAGGAAAAAAAAGAAUUAUUCAAGAUUAAAAUCAAAAUUGGAGAAAAAAAUCCCAAUAUUAAUUUCAGCAGGACAUACUUUUUUAACAUGCAUCCGAAAAUCCCAAAAAAAUGUCAUAUUGCAAAAAGAUGUUUUACAAGGAUGAAGUCAAAUAAUUAAAAUAAGCUCUUUUUUUUUUUUUUGCAAAUAGUUCAUAUUUAAUGUUUAAUAUUAGUAAUAUUGAAUUGAGCUAUUUAAAAACAUUAGGUAACUACUUUAAAGAAUUUUCAUAGUUCUAAUAAUAAAUAAAUAAUAAUAAUGUGUAAAAAAUUUAUAGCAAUAAAAUAAUUUUGGAGUUGGGGAAAUAAAAUCGAUAAUUCAGGAGAAUUAUGUUGCAAUUUGACUGGGAAAAUAGCAAAAAUAUACAAGGAAAAGAGAAAAAAACUAUAUAUAUAUAUAUAUAUAUAUAUAUAAUAUUUUGACAACAAUAAAAAAUUAAGUAGAGAAAUUACCGGAAUGAAGUCAUAAUUUAAAGAAAAACAAUAGUUACAGUUAACAAUAGAGUUGGGGAAAUAAAAU